rnacentral:rRNA from 1 species
CAGAACGAACGCUGGCGGCGCGUUUAAGCAUGCAAGUCGAGCGGCAAGGGCCUUCGGGCCCCUAGAGCGGCGGACGGGUGAGUAACACGUGGACAAUCUGCCCCCCGGCCCGGGAUAGCCCAGGGAAACCUGGAUUAAUACCGGAUGAGACGGGACCCGCGAUGGCGGGAUCCGGGAAAGGCGCUGCGGCGCCGCCGGGGGAUGAGUCUGCGUCCCAUUAGCCAGACGGCGGGGUAACGGCCCACCGUGGCGACGAUGGGUAGCCGGCCUGAGAGGGUGGACGGCCACAUUGGAACUGAGACACGGUCCAGACUCCUACGGGAGGCAGCAGCUAAGAAUCUUCCGCAAUGGGCGAAAGCCUGACGGAGCCGACGCCGCGUGAACGAAGAAGGCCGUGAGGUUGUAAAGUUCUUUUCGGGAGGGGGAACAACCGUGGCAGGGAAUGGCCGCGGGAUGACGUGAAUCCCGGAAUAAGCCCCGGCUAACUACGUGCCAGCCGCGGC